rnacentral:rRNA from 1 species
UACGGGGGGGGCAAGCGUUGUUCGGAAUUACUGGGCGUAAAGGGCUCGUAGGUGGCCAACUAAGUCAGACGUGAAAUCCCUCAGCUUAACUGGGGAACUGCGUCUGAUACUGGAUGGCUUGAGUUUGGGAGAGGGAUGCGGAAUUCCAGGUGUAGCGGUGAAAUGCGUAGAUAUCUGGAGGAACACCGGUGGCGAAGGCGGCAUCCUGGACCGACACUGACACUGAGGAGCGAAAGCCAGGGGAGCAAACGGG